rnacentral:ncRNA from 1 species
UUUCCCUCAGGAUAGCUGGCACUCAUUCGCAAGAUCAGUUUUAUCCGGUAAAGCGAAUGAUUAGAGGUACUGGGUUCGAAACGAGCUCAACCUAUUCUCAAACUUAAAAUGGGUGAGAUACCCGGCUCGCUUUAUAGGAGUCGGGCGCUCAAUGUGCGACUGCCAAGUGGGCCAUUUUUGGUAAGCAGAACUGCGCUGUGGGAUGAACCA